AAAACAAAGCAAUGACACAGCAUCCGUUCGCCUAAGGAUUCAGCGGAGGAGGGACCAUGAGCGGUGGGAAGCUAUGGCAGCCUGACAGUUUGAAUUGUGAAGAGAUAAAACCCAUGUAUGACUAGUGAAUUGACAACUUGUGUUACUUCAACGAAAGUGUGGAUCAUUCUGCAGAACCAAUCAUUUCAUGGUAGAAAACAGUGCCAUGACUUUAGGAAUCCUUCAGCAACACAACCAUGCCUACCAAGGGGAGGAGUAAGUGCAAAAGACACAUUUUACAACUAUGCUACAAAAAGAAUAGUGGGGACGAAUAGACUGGUUUCCUUACCUUCCUGCAUCAUCUUGAUGGCUCCUAAAACAACUACUAGUUCUAUAUACUUACAUGAAUUUUUUAUGUUGGUAAUAUUAUUCUGCCACAGCAUUUCAUGCUGCAGAACAUGCAGUUCACACUUGUCCCUUCUGUUGUGUGUGGCAGAAGCCAAACUGAUUUAACAGUGAAAUAGCUGAAGACUAAUUUUGUAUAAGCUGUGGCUAUUAAGAUCCACCAUUUAAUUAUUCUCAGUAACCUAAUGGAAGACCUGAUUUUGAAACAUAAAAGAUAGUGGGAGGAAGAAGAAAAAACUUCUGGCAAGUUUAUGUUUGACAUUCUGUGAAAUAUUGCUGAACUUUACAAUUGUUUGAAAAUUAUUACUGCAUUUAAAUGUCUAAUGCUCUUGAAAAUCCAUUUAAGAAAAUAAAAAUGUGAGACAUGGUUGUUUCAUUUUUCUUGAAAAGAUGGUAAAUAUGAUAUUUUGAUUUACUUAUGUUUUGUGAUAUUGCAGUGGGUCAUCAGAUUGACUGGAUGUGAAGACAAUUAAGUCUUCUCUCAAAGAUAACAGCAGGAAGUAAUCUUUAGUCUACCCUGAUAAGUAACUCUUCUCAAGCAGAAGUCUUGAGUUAAUAGAUCUGAAGUCUGAAGAAAAAGAUACACACAAAAACAUUUGUACUGUCUGAAUUUUCAUGGCUUUUAAAUGUAUGUAGAGCAGAUUAAGUCUUUACUGGAAGAGAAAGAAUACAUUCAUAAUAAAAGAUUACUAGUCAGUU
ensembl:lncRNA